GAGGGGACGGGUCACGGUGACGUCGCACGAGACACUGUGACAUCACGACGGAGGGGACACGUCAUAGUGACAUCACACGAGGACACCAUGACAUCACAACGGAGAGGACACAUCAUAGUGACGUCACGUGAGACGCCGUGACAUCACGAUGGAGAGGACACGUCACAGUGACAUCACACGGGGACACCGUGACAUCACGACGGAGGGGCACAUGGUGACGUGACAUCACAACGGAGGGGAUGCCCCACAGUGACGUCACACGGGGACGCUGUGACAUCACGACGGAGGGAACACGUCACAGUGACAUCACGUGAGACACCGUGACAUCACGACAGAGGGGACGUACCACAGUGACAUCACACGAGGACACGGUGACAUCACAACGGAGGGGACAAGUCACGGUGAUGUCACGCGAGGACACCAUGACAUCACGACGGAGGGGCACAUGGUGACGUGACAUCACGACAGAGGGGACACCCCACAGUGAUGUCACAGGGGGACGCCGUGACAUCACGAUGGAGGGGACAUGUCACACUGACAUCACACGGUGACACCGUGACAUCACGACAGAGGGGCACAUGGUGACGUGACAUCACGACGGAGGGGACGUGUCACAGUGACAUCACACGGUGACACCGUGACAUCACGACAGAGGGGCACAUGGUGACAUGACAUCACGACGGAGGGGACGUGUCACAGUGACAUCACACGGUGACACCGUGACAUCACGACGGAGGGGACGCCCCGCAGUGACAUCACACGAGGACACCGUGACAUCACAAUGGAGGGGAUGCCCCACACUGACGUCACACGAGGACACCGUGACAUCACGAUGGAGGGGACGCAUCACAGUGACAUCACAUGGACGUGCCAUAACACCAGGAUGGAGAGGACACGUCACAGUGACGUCACAAGGGGACACCGUGACAUCACGAUGGAGGGGACGGGUCACGGUGACGUCGCACGAGACACUGUGACAUCACGACGGAGGGGACACGUCAUAGUGACAUCACACGAGGACACCAUGACAUCACAACGGAGAGGACACAUCAUAGUGACGUCACGUGAGACGCCGUGACAUCACGAUGGAGAGGACACGUCACAGUGACAUCACACGGGGACACCGUGACAUCACGACGGAGGGGCACAUGGUGACGUGACAUCACAACGGAGGGGAUGCCCCACAGUGACGUCACANNNNNNNNNNGGGGCUGGGGGUCCCCGUCACUGUCUCCGUGGGGCUGGGGGUCCUCAUCCCCCCCCUCGGUGUCUCUGUGGGGCUGGGGGUCCUCGCUCCCCCCCUCGCUGUCUCCAUGGGACUGGGGGUCCCUCUUGGUGUCUCCGUGGGGCUGGGGGUCCUCGUCCCCCCCUCGCUGUUGUUAUGGGUCUAGGGGUCCUCCUCGGUGUCUCCGUGGGGCUGAGGGUCCCCCUUGCUUUCUCCAUGGGGCUGGGGGUCCCUCUUGGUGUCUCAGUGGGGCUG
rnacentral:lncRNA from 1 species